rnacentral:rRNA from 1 species
UAGGGAAUCUUCCACAAUGGGCGCAAGCCUGAUGGAGCAACACCGCGUGAGUGAAGAAGGAUUUCGGCUCGUAAAGCUCUGUUGUUAAAGAAGAACACGUAUGAGAGUAACUGUUCAUACGUUGACGGUAUUUAACCAGAAAGUCACGGCUAACUACGUGCCAG